rnacentral:lncRNA from 1 species
UUCAGUAUGAUCUCAUCUUAACUAUUACAUCUGCAAAGACUUCAUUUCCUAAAAAGGUCCCAUUCUGAGCUUCCAGGUGAACAUGAGUUUGAGGGGGAGGGAGGGACACUGUUCAACCUGGUACAGGGUGUCAAAUGGGAAAUAAACAAAUACGUAGACAUGGGGCAGGAUUAUAUGGCAAGUAUUAAUAUUAAGCAGGUGGCUGGAUGU